rnacentral:rRNA from 1 species
GACGAACGCUGGCGGCGUGCCUAAUACAUGCAAGUCGAGCGAAGUUUUUCUGGUGCUUGCACCGGAAAAACUUAGCGGCGAACGGGUGAGUAACACGUAAAGAACCUGCCUCAUAGACUGGGACAACUAUUGGAAACGAUAGCUAAUACCGGAUAACAGCAUUAACUGCAUGGUUGAUGUUUAAAAGUUGGUUUUGCUAACACUAUGAGAUGGCUUUGCGGUGCAUUAGCUAGUUGGUGGGGUAAAGGCCUACCAAGGCGACGAUGCAUAGCCGACCUGAGAGGGUGAUCGGCCACACUGGGACUGAGACACGGCCCAGACUCCUACGGGAGGCAGCAGUAGGGAAUCUUCCGCAAUGGGCGAAAGCCUGACGGAGCAACGCCGCGUGAGUGAAGAAGGAUUUCGGUUCGUAAAGCCCUGUUGUUAGGGAAGAAUGAUUGUGUAGUAACUAUACACAGUAGAGACGGUACCUAACCAGAAAGCCACGGCUAACUACGUG